CACGUAGGGGACGAGCGUUGUCCGGAUUCAUUGGGCGUAAAGCGCGCGUAGGCGGCUCGGAAAGUCGGUCGUGAAAUGCCGGGGCUCAACCCCGGGACUGCGUCCGAUACUCCCGAGCUGGAGGCAGGUAGGGGAGAUCGGAAUUCCUGGUGUAGCGGUGAAAUGCGCAGAUAUCAGGAGGAACACCGGUGGCGAAGGCGGAUCUCUGGGCCUGUCCUGACGCUCAGGCGCGAAAGCUAGGGGAGCAAACAGG
rnacentral:rRNA from 1 species